GUGUUCACUUCAGGAGCACACAUACUAAAAUUGGAAUGAUUCAGAGAUUAGCAUGACCCCUGUGCAAGGACGACAUGAAAAUUCAUGAAAUAUUCCUUUUUUUU